rnacentral:rRNA from 1 species
GUGAGGAAUUUUCCGCAAUGGGCGAAAGCCUGACGGAGCAAUGCCGCGUGAAGGAUGAAGGCCUAUGGGUUGUAAACUUCUUUUCUUAGAGAAGAAUAUUGACGGUAUCUGAGGAAUAAGCAUCGGCUAACUCUGUGCCAGCAGCCGCGGUAAGACAGAGGAUGCAAGAGUUAUCCGGACUGAUUGGGCGUAAAGCGUCUGUAGGUGGCUUCAAAAGUCUACUGUCAAAGAUCAGGGCUUAACCCUUGGCCGGCAGGAGAAACUCUGAGGCUAGAGUUUGGUAGGGGCAGAGGGAAUUCCCGGUGGAGCAGUGAAAUGCGUAGAGAUCGGGAGGAACACCAAAGGCGAAAGCACUCUGCUGGGCCACAACUGACACUGAGAGACGAAAGCGAGGGGAGCAAAAGGGAUUAGAUACCCUGGUAGUCC